UACGUAGGGUGCAAGCGUUAAUCGGAAUUACUGGGCGUAAAGCGUGCGCAGGCGGUGAUGUAAGACAGGUGUGAAAUCCCCGGGCUUAACCUGGGAACUGCAUUUGUGACUGCAUCGCUGGAGUGCGGCAGAGGGGGAUGGAAUUCCGCGUGUAGCAGUGAAAUGCGUAGAUAUGCGGAGGAACACCGAUGGCGAAGGCAAUCCCCUGGGCCUGCACUGACGCUCAUGCACGAAAGCGUGGGAGCA
rnacentral:rRNA from 1 species